UACGGAGGGUGCAAACGUUGCUCGGAAUCAUUGGGCGUAAAGCGCGCGCAGGCGGCCUUUUAAGUCUGAUGUGAAAGCCCACGGCUUAACCGUGGAAGGUCAUUGGAAACUGGAAGGCUUGAGUACAGAAGAGGAAAGCGGAAUUCCACGUGUAGCGGUGAAAUGCGUAGAGAUGUGGAGGAACACCAGUGGCGAAGGCGGCUUUCUGGUCUGUAACUGACGCUGAGGCGCGAAAGCGUGGGGAGCAAACAGG
rnacentral:rRNA from 1 species